rnacentral:tRNA from 1 species
GGGCCCGUGGUCUAGCGGUAUGACGUCUCGUUGACGUCGAGAAGGUCGCCAGUUCGAAUCUGGCCGGGCCCA